GUGAUCCUCGUUCGUUGCCCCCGCACCUGCUGCAUCUGGUUAUGCUCCGCCUGUUUUUCCCUGCUCUGUGUACCCCAGUGGGUCCUGCCCUGGCUCAGGGACUUGCGUCGGCCGCAUUGGUUUGUGGGGGCUAUGUGAUGGAUUCUUCCAGGGCAUCGUUUUCAAAGCCGCCACUGAGGGUGGCCCCUGGGACGUUUUCAGGUUGACGUGACUUGAUCUGGACCUGUUAGCGCCUCGCAGUUCAUUUUCUGGGCAUCAGCGGCCUGGUUCCCCAUGCGCCUUCACGAUUGGUAUAUAUUUUCUUCAGCUCCCCAUGCUGUCUCCACGAUUUUCCUCCGAAAGCGAUAUAAGGCUGAGGAUGACUGUUAUCACUGAUGGUCUCACUGUUCUGCCUCUAUGCCUCUCAGUGGCGUCUCUUGGCCUUCAGUUGGCGCUCGAAGUAUUUGUCGGUUUACCUUUCCGCUGUCGUGGCAGUCCUCAUAAAAUCGACUUAAUUAUCUGAAGCCCUGUCCUGGAUAUUUGUAGGCGAUGGGUGCCCUUCAUUUUGCAUGUCUUUGAUGAUUUCUUGGUGGCCAACUUUCCUCUGUAUCCCUGGUCUUUUGAAUCUCUGUG